UUUGCAUUGUAUUACCGUGCUUUGACUGUUUUCAAUCUUGCGCUGCGAUUUACUUACGUCACUGAAUUCACAGCGCAAGAUUGAAAACAGUCAAAGCACGGUAAUACAAUGCAAA